rnacentral:rRNA from 1 species
ACGAACGCUGGCGGCACGCUUAACACAUGCAAGUCGAACGAGAGAAGAGGAGCUUGCUUUUCUGAUCUAGUGGCGGACGGGUGAGUAACACGUGAGCAAUCUGCCUUUCAGAGGGGGAUACCGAUUGGAAACGAUCGUUAAUACCGCAUAACAUAAUUGAACCGCAUGAUUUGAUUAUCAAAGAUUUAUCGCUGAAAGAUGAGCUCGCGUCUGAUUAGCUAGUUGGUAAGGUAACGGCUUACCAAGGCGACGAUCAGUAGCCGGACUGAGAGGUUGAUCGGCCACAUUGGGACUGAGACACGGCCCAGACUCCUACAGGAGGCAGCAGUGGGGAAUAUUGCACAAUGGAGGAAACUCUGAUGCAGCGAUGCCGCGUGAGGGAAGAAGGUUUUAGGAUUGUAAACCUCUGUCUUCAGGGACGAAAAAUGACGGUACCUGAGGAGGAAGCUCCGGCUAACUACGUGCCAGCAGCCGCGGUAAUACGUAGGGAGCGAGCGUUGUCCGGAAUUACUGGGUGUAAAGGGAGCGUAGGCGGGAUCGCAAGUCAGAUGUGAAAACUAUGGGCUUAACCCAUAAACUGCAUUUGAAACUGUGGUUCUUGAGUGAAGUAGAGGUAAGCGGAAUUCCUAGUGUAGCGGUGAAAUGCGUAGAUAUUAGGAGGAACAUCAGUGGCGAAGGCGGCUUACUGGGCUUUAACUGACGCUGAGGCUCGAAAGCGUGGGGAGCAAACAGGAUUAGAUACCCUGGUAGUCCACGCCGUAAACGAUGAUUACUAGGUGUGGGGGGACUGACCCCUUCCGUGCCGCAGCAAACGCAAUAAGUAAUCCACCUGGGGAGUACGACCGCAAGGUUGAAACUCAAAGGAAUUGACGGGGGCCCGCACAAGCAGUGGAGUAUGUGGAUUAAUUCGAAGCAACGCGAAGAACCUUACCAGGUCUUGACAUCGUAUGCAUAGCUCAGAGAUGAGUGAAAUCUCUUCGGAGACAUAUAGACAGGUGGUGCAUGGUUGUCGUCAGCUCGUGUCGUGAGAUGUUGGGUUAAGUCCCGCAACGAGCGCAACCCUUACUGUUAGUUGCUACGCAAGAGCACUCUAGCAGGACUGCCGUUGACAAAACGGAGGAAGGUGGGGAUGACGUCAAAUCAUCGUGCCCCUUAUGACCUGGGCCUCACACGUACUACAAUGGCUGUCAACAGAGGGAAGCAAAGCCGCGAGGUGGAGCAAACCCCUAAAAGCAGUCUUAGUUCGGAUUGUAGGCUGCAACCCGCCUACAUGAAGUCGGAAUUGCUAGUAAUCGCAGAUCAGCAUGCUGCGGUGAAUACGUUCCCGGGCCUUGUACACACCGCCCGUCACGCCAUGGGAGUCGGUAACACCCGAAGCCUGUAGUCUAACCGCAAGGAGGACGCAGUCGAAGGUGGGAUUGAUGACUGGGGUG